UGGGCAACCUGCCUCAAAGAGGGGAAUAGCCUCCCGAAAGGGAGAUUAAUACCGCAUAAUAUGUUUAAGUCGCAUGACUUUAACAUCAAAGGAUUUUCUUUUUAGAAGUUCCACUUUGAGAUGGACCCGCGGCGCAUUAGCUAGUUGGUGAGGUAACGGCUCACCAAGGCAAUGAUGCGUAGUCGACCUGAGAGGGUGAUCGGCCACAUUGGAACUGAGACACGGUCCAGAUCCGUACGGGG
rnacentral:rRNA from 1 species